GGUCUAACCAAACCACGUAUGCUCGACAAAAUGGUGGCAAUUAUAACUUCUUACUAGAUUAUGAUGGAAAUGCUCUACCAUUUGAAGAAAGAUUCUGGGAUGAUUUAUUUAAAUACAGUAGGACCUGGGGAUUGAUUGUCUAUGAGCAGGACUUUAUGUACAUGAACACCGAUUCGAUCAACGAAACGGUAUCUGAUGUUAUUUCUGCCAAAACAUGGAUGAUGGAAAUGGGUAAUGCUGCUAAGAAGAAUGGUUUAACUCUUCAAUAUUGUAUGGAAUAUCCUCGACAUGUUAUGCAAUCUCUAGAAAUACCCGUUGUUACACAGGCUCGUGUAAUGGAAGAUAAUGUUCCAGGGUCUGAUCACUGGAGGAUUGGCUAUUCGUCUAUUUUUGCUGAAGCCAUGGGAUUGGCUCCUUAUAAAGACAACUUCUGGACAACAACUGAACAGUCUGGUAAUCCAUAUAAUGGUAGCGAACCAAACACAGCAUUACAAUCAAUGAUAGCAACAAUGAGCACUGGACCAGUUGGACCAAGUGAUAAGAUUGGUACAACUAACGUCACGCUUCUUCUAAGGUGCUGUAAUGCAGAAGGAUUGAUUUUAAAACCAGCCGUUCCUUUUACAGCCAUCAAUAAACAAAUUCAACAGAUGGCGUUUGGAAAUAAUUUUGGUCCUGAUGGAGAUCUGUACACGACCUAUUCUGAUAUAUCUGGAUAUAAAUUUGGAGCAAUCUCAGCUGCCAACAUGAAGAGUGGUUAUUCAUUAUCU